UUGCGCAAGUUUGCUACAAUCGCGCGCCUAGACGAAGAAAAAGUGCCACAGAACCCUUGGAGAUAUUUUUGUGUAAUGGCCGGAAUGUCUGAGAUCUCCAAAGUGGAACUUCCAGGAACCAUAGAUUUGACUGAGAAGAUUGAAGGGAAGUCCAAAGCAAAGAAGUUAGAAGAGCUUAUGGAGAUGGUGGAAACACUGCAGCAUGGUCAUGUGUCUUCUUAUGCCUGAUUUAAGCCUGGGGCUUAGGGGGUGGGAACAGAGUUCAGAGCCAGCCCUCAAAAAAUUCAGAUAUUAGAAAAUUAUCUAAUUUUGCUUUUCAUCUUAUAAUUUAAUUAUUUGAACAAAAAUACCAUAUCAUGGUACAGAAUUCAAAAAAUUGGAUAAAAUAAAAAGUGAAUUGUUUCCUUAAACUCUUGGUUCCCCCAUUUGCCUUCUUACAGGCAGGAAAGUAACUACUGUUUUCAGAUAAUUUAUGUAUCUUCCCUGAGAUAUUUUACUUGUAGACAAAUAUGAAUAUAUACUUUUCUCUAUUUCUACACAAAAGUGGCAGAAAACCAUGUAGGACCUCUUGUGGCAGCAAAAUUUAGGCAGAUAGGUCACAGAACAAGCAUAAGAAGCACCCUAACAUACUCAGGAAACAAACUAUCUCAGGGGUGGUAGUGUUGAAAAUUAAUAUUAGUACCUCAUAGAGUGAUCCCUUAUCCAAAGGUCAGAUAAC
rnacentral:lncRNA from 1 species